rnacentral:rRNA from 1 species
GAUGAACGCUGGCGGCGUGCUUAACACAUGCAAGUCGAACGGAAAGGCCCAAGCUUGCUUGGGUACUCGAGUGGCGAACGGGUGAGUAACACGUGGGUGAUCUGCCCUGCACUUCGGGAUAAGCCUGGGAAACUGGGUCUAAUACCGGAUAGGACCACGUCUUGGAUGGUGUGGUGGAAAGUUUUUUCGGUGUAUGAUGAGCUCGCGGCCUAUCAGCUUGUUGGUGGGGUAAUGGCCUACCAAGGCGUCGACGGGUAGCCGGCCUACGAGGGUGUACGGCCAGAUUAGGACACAAAGACGGGCAGCAGUCCUACGUGUGGCAGCAGGGGGGCAUAUUGGACACUGCGGGAAAGCCUGAUGGAGGGAGGCCGCGUGGGGGAUGAGCGCCUUCGGGUGGUAAACACCUUUCGCUAGGGACGAAGCGUUUUUGUGACGGUACCCAAAGAAGAAGCACCGGCUAACUACGUG